GUUCUCACUUCAGCAGCACAUAUACCAAAAUUGGAAUGAUACAGAGAUUAGUAUGGCCUCUGUGCAAGGAAGAUAUACAAAUUCAUGAAGCAUUCCAUAUUUUA